rnacentral:rRNA from 1 species
UCAAUAUGAGAGUUUGAUCCUGGCUCAGAACGAACGCUGGCGGCAUGCCUAACACAUGCAAGUCGAUCGCCCCGCAAGGGGAGAGGCGAACGGGUGAGUAAUACAUAGGAAUCUGCCUAACACUGGGGGAUAACUACUGGAAACAGUAGCUAAUACCGCAUACGCCAUAUUGGGAAAGCUACGGCGGUGAUGGAUGAGCCUAUGUCUGAUUAGCUAGUUGGUAGGGUAAUGGCCUACCAAGGCAACGAUCAGUAGCUGGUCUGAGAGGAUGAUCAGUCACACUGGAACUGAGACACGGUCCAGACUCCUACGGGAGGCAGCAGUGGGGAAUAUUGCGCAAUGGGCGAAAGCCUGACGCAGCAAUGCCGCGUGAGUGAUGACGGCCUUCGGGUUGUAAAGCUCUUUUGUCAGGGAAGAUAAUGACGGUACCUGAAGAAAAAGUCCCGGCUAACUCCGUGCCAGCAGCCGCGGUAAUACGGAGGGGGCAAGCGUUGUUCGGAUUUACUGGGCGUAAAGCGAUCGCAGGCUGCUAAUCAAGUCAGGUGUGAAAGCCCUGGGCUCAACCCGGGAAUUGCACUUGAAACUGGUUGGCUAGAGUCAUGGAGAGGUAAGUGGAAUUACCAGUGUAGAGGUGAAAUUCGUAGAUAUUGGUAGGAACACCAGAGGCGAAGGCGACUUACUGGCCAUGUACUGACGCUAAGGAUCGAAAGCGUGGGGAGCAAACAGGAUUAGAUACCCUGGUAGUCCACGCCGUAAACGAUGAGUGCUAGCUGUCGGGCCCUUGAGGCUCGGUGGCGUAGUUAACGCGUUAAGCACUCCGCCUGGGGAGUACGGCCGCAAGGUUAAAACUCAAAGGAAUUGACGGGGGCCCGCACAAGCGGUGGAGCAUGUUGUUUAAUUCGAAGCAACGCGAAGAACCUUACCUGGGCUUGUAUCCCGGUC